AACGCACAUUGCGCCCGCUAGUAUUCUGGCGGGCAUGCCUGUCUGAGCGUCAUUUCACCAAUCCCCCUGGGCUUCUUGUCCCGGGGGCUGUUGGGGAUCGCCGAGCGUACACUCGGCGUCCCCUAAACCUAGUGGCAGCCUCGCAGCGGCCUCCCCUGCGUAGUAAACACUCUCGCAGGCGGAACCACAGCGAAGGGUCGCCGUAAAACCCCCAACUUCUUAAUGGUUGACCUCAGAUCAGGUAGGAAUACCCGCUGAACUUAA
rnacentral:misc_RNA from 1 species